ACCAGACUCCUACGGGAGGCAGCAGUGGGGGAUAUUGCACAAUGGGGGAAACCCUGAUGCAGCGACGCCGCGUGGGCGAAGAAGUAUUUCGGUAUGUAAAGCCCUAUCAGCAGGGAAGAAGAAAUGACGGUACCUGAGUAAGAAGCACCGGCUAAAUACGUGCCAGCAGCCGCGGUAAUACGUAGGGGGCAAGCGCUAUCCGGAUUUACUGGGUGUAAAGGGAGCGUAGACGGCAAUACAAGUCGGAAGUGAAAUACCCGGGCUCAACCUGGGAACUGCUUUGGAAACUGUAUGGCUAGAGUGCUGGAGAGGUAAGCGGAAUUCCUAGUGUAGCGGUGAAAUGCGUAGAUAUUAGGAGGAACACCAGUGGCGAAGGCGGCUUACUGGACAGUAACUGACGUUGAGGCUCGAAAGCGUGGGGAGCAAACAGGAUUAGAUACCCCCGUAAUA
rnacentral:rRNA from 1 species